AUGCUGUUCUUAACAACAGCUUUGUGUCCCCGCUGGCGACUGCGCAGGGAGCGAUGGCUGAAGUGUGAGACCUUGCGCUGUCCUGGAGCCCUUCCAGAGAUGGUGGCAGUGCCAAACCCACGCUCUGGGCUUUGCCAGGGCUGGGUGUCCUUGGUGGGACCGUCCCAAGGCAGGGCUGAGCGGGGCUCUGGCUCCCAGCACUGGGAAUGCUGGAGGCUCUGGGAUCUGGGCUCGCUCGCUGUGGGACAGAGGGACCUUGGUGGUCUGAGCUGUCUCUUGCCCACCCAACUGAGGUGGUGUCUCUCAGGGAAGCAGAGGAAGUUUCUUUAUUUCUUGGGGGUCAAACUCUACAAAGGAGGCCCCUCAAGAUGGGGCAGGUUCAUUUUCCUCUCACAUUUAUCCCCUCCUCUUCCUGCUCAGCUCUUUCCCAAUCUGAGAAACCCCCAUGUUGCCAUUCAUUCCUGUUUCUCCUUAAGUGCAGCUCCGACAGCUGAAUGCCUCAAAAUCUCCUUUCCACAUUUUUAUUUCAGCUUCUGCCCAGGUGGAGACUCCACACUCUCACCCUGUGCGAGGAGACUGGGAAUUUCUUCCCUUUCCCCCACUCAGGAGUGGGACACAGCGGGGACACGGCCGUGUCCCUGCACUGGGACGUUGUUUAAUUCCUGCUGGGGUGACACCAAGGUGACUUUCCUGGAGGUCACAGCCUGGUAUCAGAUGCUGGCCAACCUGCAGAUUAAAAUGUGCCAGCCUGAGCCUUCGGGAUUUCGUGCAGGCACGGGGUGGGAUACGGCUGAUAACAGGACAACAUCCUCGAGGGGUAUUUUUCCAGUGUUUUUCUUGCUUGAUAAAGUCACAAGGUACAAAUUCAACUGGAAUAGAUCUGGAAAAUCCCACCCUCAGCAACCUCUGGAGCCUUUUCAGCUGUUAUCCAUGGAAGGUGUUUUGGUGUGGAAAGGAGAGCGUUUGGGACAGGCUCAAGGGCUCUUGUCCUCACAGGGGGGGUAA
rnacentral:lncRNA from 1 species